AUGACAAGCCAUCAUGGCACGCGGUCGGAGGUGUGUUUUAAGUCAUAUAACAAAUUUAUCGUGAUAAUACAAACCAUGCCUUCUUUAUAUUAAUUCCUUUUUUUUAAUUUAGUUUAUUCGUUUUUCUGCAUAAUUUUCUGUGUUUCAUUGAUUAAAACCAAAAAAAAAAAAUAAAUAAUAUAAACUAAAGACAAUGGUGAAAUUAACAGAAGAAAUGAUUGUGGCACGUACACGAAUGUCCGAUUUUUCUGCCGUAAAGAAGCUCAAUUGUUGGGGAUCAGAAUUAACAGAUGUAAGCAUUUUACGUGGAAUGGAAAAUGUGGAAGUAUUAUCAUUAAGUGUGAACAAUAUUGACACGCUUGCUGAUUUUCAAUAUUGCCACAAUUUGCGAGAUCUAUUUAUUAGAAAAAAUAAUAUUAAAGAUCUGAAUGAAGUUUGUUAUCUUCAAGAGUUACCCAAUUUAAGGAAUUUAUGGCUUGGCGAAAAUCCUUGUGCGGAAAAAGAAGGAUAUCGAUUAACUGUUCUUCGAGCUUUACCAAAUCUGGAAAAGCUAGAUGAUAAAGUAGUAGCCCCGGAAGAAGUGCAAACUGCAUUGUCAAGAGGCCGAGUACUUGUACAUCCGCUUGAUAUGGAUGCAUCUCCACCACAAUCAGAAAUGAUUAGUCCAGAGGAAGUACCUGUUGAGUAUAUUGAAGAAACACGUGUGGAAAAACAUAGGAGAUAUAGUUCAUCUAGCGACCAGAGAAGUUAUGAUGAAAUGCAUCACACACAAGAAGAGUAUCAUGAUCCUGACAGAAGAAAUGCUAAUUGUAAAACAUUACCUCAUCAUUAUGCUCAAAGCAAUCAGUAUACAUAUGAGGAUACUGAUGAUCAACCAGCAGUUUCAAGACAUAAUGGAGAUUAUGACGAGAGACGAGCUUAUUCUGAAUAUGUUAAUAAUGAUGCAUCCCAACGUUCAUACACAUCGCCUUCUCCACGUACUCAAUAUGGCGUUAAAUACGAAACUCAAGAUGAUAAUCGCUUUGAGAGGAAUAAUUAUGAGUAUGACGAUAAGAGGCAGAUAGAAUGCGAUGAACCAUUACCUCAACCAUCAUCUCAACAUAGACGAAUGCCUACUCAUCAUAAUACUGAAAGGGAAGAUACAAGUCAAGUGCCUGGUUGGGUAAGACAUUCCGAUAAAGAGAAAUGUAGACCACAGUUUCACUAUCAUAGGCGGCCAGUUACAAGGAACUCUAAUAUACUCUCUGCCGUAUUAUGCCUAGUCAAAGAAUUGGACUAUCCCAGUUUGGAAGUAGUAGAAAUGGCAGUUAGAAAUCGAAUGGAUGAAUUAGAAGAAUGAUGUUUCUGACGCCGUCCCCAAAAUCUUCAGGGGACGGUUGCCUUUUCUCGUGUUGGCAGUAUUUCCUCUAUUCCAAGUCCAGAAUUUUCUGACUCACUUGACUCUAAUCAGUGCAUCGAUAAUGAUAUGAAUUUUAACAUCGAACAUCGUAUAUGCAAUCAUUAUGGGAUAGAUGAAACUAGUGAAAAAUCACAAAUGCAGAGAAAUGAAUCUACCGAAAACUGUAAUUUAAAUCGAAAUCCAAAAACUUUCGUUACCGAUUCAAAUCUUAGGUAUAUUAAAAAUAAUCCACAUACAUACAAACUUCGGGACUCUGGAUCAGAUAAUUUGACAACAACAAUUAACAGUGAACCAAAAAGAUCGAACGACGUUAGAAGAGUAGCAAGCAGUGACAGUAUCCCCCGUAGUAACAAUAGUGGUGUAUAUUUCAAUCAAGGAAGUAAAGAUCCAAAUCAAGAUUGUAUAAGACGAUCGAAAAGUCCUGACGUUAGAAACACGAUAAUGCCACUUCGUUACAUUCAAUCAUCAAAAGGAACUUGGACGUACAACUUGCAUCUAAAUUGCACAAGGGUGCAAAUUGAUGGCUUGGAGAUAAAAUGAUUCAAGAUAUAUUAAUAAAAAAAAUAAAAAAAAAAAAAUAAAAAAAAAAAUGUUUUAGACAAAACUUAUAUAAUUUUUAAAUCCAUAUAAAAUUAUACAAGUUUUAGUAUUAAUGUAAAAGUGAUAUUUACAUGAAUUACUGUUUUUUUAUUAAUCAUUCAAUAGUAAAUUGAUAAUAACAAAUACUUAAAAAAACAUCAAAUUAUAUAAUCAUAAUAUACAAUACAUUUAUUCUUUCACUACUUAUAAAUUCAUUAAGCCUAAAAUCAUUAGAAGACUAAUACUUUUGUACAUUAUAAUUAAGGGAAAGAUUUUAUAUUAAAAGUUUCAGUUGGUUUUAAUAAAUAUUCCGUGCGCAAACUUGCCUAGUUUAACUAACUUAACUACUAUCCUUAACCUAAAUGAAUAUGAAAGAACAUUUUCAAAGUUUAUAAUAUUUAUUCUUUA